rnacentral:SRP_RNA from 1 species
GCCGGGUGUGGUGGUGGGUACCUGUAAUCCCAGCUACUCGGGAGGCUGAGGCAGAAGAAUUGCUUGAGCCCAGGAGGUAGAGGUUGCAGUGAGCUGAGAUCAUGCCACUUCACUCCAGCCUGGGCAAUAGAGCGAGACUUUGUCUCAA